CCAAUGGCACUGCCCGGUAGCUAAAUGCGGAAGAGAUAAGUGCUGAAAGCAUCUAAGCACGAAACUUGCCCCGAGAUGAGUUCUCCCUGAGACUUUAGAUCUCCUGAAGGAACGUUGAAGACGACGACGUUGAUAGGCCGGGUGUGUAAGCGCAGCGAUGCGUUGAGCUAACCGGUACUAAUGAACCGUGAGGCUUAACCUU
rnacentral:rRNA from 1 species